rnacentral:tRNA from 1 species
GGGCCCUUAGCUCAGUUGGUUAGAGCACUGCGUUUACACCGCAGGUGUCAUCGGUUCGAGUCCGGUAGGGCCCACGA